rnacentral:lncRNA from 1 species
AUUUUAUCACAUUUUUUAAUAAUCAUAUGUUUUCUUGUUCCCUCGCUGGAUUGUAAACUGCACAAGGGCACAGACCUGUUUUGAUUACUACUGAGGACACAGAGUCUAUCCAAGUCUCUCAGUCUUGUAAGUCCUUAAAGAAUAUUUACUGAAUAAAUGAAAGAGUUGUCCAAUUAGCCUAUCAGACAGUGAGUUGCACAAAGUCAGGGGUCACUUCCUACUCAACUCUGCAUUUCUAGAACCAAACACAACUCUGGCGCAUGUCAUUAAAUAUGUCUUGAGUUAAAGAAGAGCUUUCUGUAGAAUAAAAUUUAUUGAUCUUUAAAAAAUAAGGUAAUAUAAUGAAUUUUGCUUUUUGAAGGAAGGAUGAUGCUUAAUUCAAAUGAGUUCACUUAUGAUGAAGGAAGGAAAAUCAAAUUCUGUUCAGGACUUUUGGCCUUUCCGCAUUUUCCAUCGUAUCGAAUUUUAAGAGAGAGGUGCAUAGCUCUAAGAGAAAUUGAUAUAAAUAUUUAGAGACCAUUUGUAUGAAAUAUAACCUUUCUUCCUCCUAGCCUGGUUGUACUUUAAUAGGGAUUGUAAGGAAAGAGAGCUCUUGAUCUGUAAACCCCUAACUUACAAAUGGACCAUAGCUCCAAAACUUUGCCUCUCCCCUCCCUACUCCUUUCACCCUGGGGACCCCUCUAUUUUCUAAUCAUCGUCAAAAAUUAUUAAAGCUUUUAGCGAAUGUGUAAAUAUGUAUGUUAAGAAGUAGAGGGAGGGGGAAACAAUGACUUGCUGAGGAAUCCUGGGAAAAUCUUUUAACUUUUCAGAACCAGAAUUGCCUUAUCUGUAAAAUGACCAUAAUUAUGGUACCUACUGAGAUGGGCUGUUGGAGGCUCACUGUGAAAGUGCUCUAUGAACUGCAGCCAGGAGGCAUUUUUAUUGUUGGGGGCAAAGAGCGUGAUGGUCAAGAGUAAGAUAAAUAUAGUAGUAUGGAAAACAUAAGUGAAAAUAUUUGUCUUCUGCAGCAGAAAGGUAAUAAUAACUGCAAGCCAAUUACUACAUUUUGUGCUAACUUAUAGUCAAUGGACUUUUGCUAUUACAUUUUUCAUGGAAAAGUGGUCCAGUUUUUAAAAAAUUUAACAAUAGCCACAUAAGAGCUACUUUGAAAUAAUAAAAACAUUAUUCAUGUUCUGUAAAUACUUACUAUAGGACAUUAGGAAAGCAAUUAACUUUGGAGUCUUUUCUUUUUCUGUGUAAAUAGGAAAUAAUCUCAGUUCUCUCUUCCUUGCAGUAUUGGUAUGGGUCUCAUAGGUGCCCUGUUUGAGACAGAACUUUCUGAGCUAUAACAGGCUUAUGGUCACAUAUUAUUUAUAGGAAUAGUCUGAGUGUAAUAGUAUCUUAUUCUCUUUCUCUCGCUCUCAUUUUUUUUUCUUUGCUUUCCUUGAACCCAGCACAGUGUCUGCAACUUACUGAAUGUUCAUUAAACAUUCAUGGGACAAAGGGAUAAAUAUGAUAAAUUGUUUUGAAAAAUCCUAAAAACUCUAGCCAAACAUGAGAUUCUAAUCAUGAGAUAAGAUAAUGCGAAGUUAAGCUUGAGGGUUCUGGAUGUCAGAUUCCUGCACUUGUUUCUUGGUUUCUCCUUCAUGAGCUAUGAUAUCUUGGAUAAGUCCCUAAAUUUCUCUGAGCUUCAAUUUCAUUUUCAAUAAAAUGGCAGUUAAUACCAAUACCAACUUCACAGGAUUGUUUUUAAUAUUGAAUGAGGUCAUUUCUAUUAGCAUCAAGCACAGUGCCUGGCAUAUAAUGAGCACUAAAUUAAAGUCAGAUGUAUUUAUAAGUUUUCAAAGUAUCCUCAUCAUGUAGUCUCCUUAAUAUUUUACAUUUCUGUGAAUAUAUAAUAAAUAUAUUUUUCAAAAGUCUGAUCAUACUGCAUACAUCAUUUUAUAUCCUUAUAUUUUCCUUUUUUUAACUUAGCAUGGUGUCAUGAUUAUGUUUAGAAAACUUAAUAUGUAAUGUCUAGCAGGAUCUCUUUUUUUAAUCAUAUGUGACUUUGAAAGGGUGAGCCUUCAAGCAAAACGUUCAGUUGGAGGUUUUUGGUGUGCUCAAGAAGAUCAACCUCUGACUGCCCCAGGAUGCAGAAACAAAGUACCAGGCAGAACCUGAAUUGAAGCCUGAAGGAUGGAGGGAGGACAUGGGCUGUUAGUGUAAGAAUGUGCUUGGCCCUGUCAUCUUGUCAUGAGCAUGCCCUGCCCUACAUUUGGAAUGCCUUGAUAGUCUGAGAAGGAAGCAACUGCAGACUAAAAAAGAUAAAUGUGAAAGUUGGGGGCUCAGAUAAUUCUCAUGUGUGAACUCUCUCUGAAAUGGCUGAGCACGAGAAGCGGAAUGGAUUUCUCAACUGGCCUGGGACAGAAAGAAGAUUUACGGAUACCAUCAAUAAAGUGAAAAGACGACCCACAGAAUGGGAGAAAAUAUUUGCAAGUCAAUAUCUGAUAAGAAACUUGUGUCCAGAAUAUAUAAAGAACUCUUACAACUCAACAAUAAAAAGGCAAAUAAUCUGAUUAAAAAGUGAGCAAAAGAUUUGAAUAGACAUUUAUCCAAAGAAGAUGUACAAAUGGCUAAUCAGUCCAUGAAAAGAUAUUAAACAUAAUUUGUUAUUAGAGAAAUGCAAAUCAUGAGCAAGAGAUGCCACUUCACACCCAUUAGGAUGGUUAUCAUAAGAAAGAUGGACAAUAAGAAGUGUUGGUGAGGAUGUGGAGAAAUUGGAACCCUCAUACGUUGCUGAUGGGAUUGUAAAUUGUUACAGCUGCUUUGGAAAACAGUUUGGCAAUCCCUCAAAAUGUUAAACAUAGAGUUACUAUAUGAUCCAGAAACAACACUCUCAGGCAUAUGUCCAAGAGAAAUAAAAAGAUAUGUCCAAACAAAACCUUGUUCAUGAAUGGUCAUAGCAAUAUUAUUCAUAAAAGCCAAAAAGUAUAAACAACUCAAUGUCUAUUAAUGGACAACUAGAUAAAAGCAAUGUAGAAUAGCUGUACAAUGGAAUAUUACACAGCCAUAAAAAGGCAUGAGGAAUUGAUACAUUCUACAAUAAGGAUGAACCUUGAUAACCUUAUGCUGAGUGAAAGAAGCCAG